AGAAACUUUCCAGGCUGCAGCCACUGUGGACUCCAGAGCACGGCGGUUCAUACUGGGUAAUAGCUUCUUGCGAUAUGCCAUUACUUUCUGCAGGAACAAAUAUCAAUGCACUAAAAUCCUCCAGCCUGCUAAAAAUGGACUGUGUCCAAUGACAAACAGAAGAGAAUACUUUGCACUGCUUUAAUAGAGACUGUAAUAUUGUUAUUUUAUAGAGUUUUAAACAAAACAAAUUUUUGUUUUCUAAUACUCACAGUACUGACUCGGGAUGAGAGAAGGAAAGCGCUGGGUAGAGAAGGGCAGGUCCCUGGCUAGGGCUUCACCUCAGGUCCUGUGCACACGCAUAUAGGGGAGGACAAGCGCUCCUGUUUUCAUGCCCAAGUUUGCAUUUUCCAAGACCACCUGGCCUGCCACGUCCCCUAUCCUGUGCCUGUAAAAACCCCAAGACAGGCAGGCAGGCACAGAAGUGGCUGGACGUCGAGAGGAACACAUUGGCGGAAGAACACACAAGCAGUUGCACACAUUGGCGGAAGAACACACAAGCAGCUGUGCCACACAAGCAGCUGUGCAGACGCACGUUAAGAGGAGCGCACGUUGAGAGGAGCGCACGUACGUUGAGAGGAGCGCACGUACGUUGAGAGGAGCGCACGUACGUUGAGAGGAGCGCACGUACGUUGAGAGGAGCGCACGUACGUUGAGAGGAGCGCACGUACGUUGAGAGGAGCGCACGUACGUUGAGAGGAGCGCACGUACGUUGAGAGGAGCGCACGUACGUUGAGAGGAGCGCACGUACGUUGAGAGGAGCGCACGUACGUUGAGAGGAGCGCACGUACGUUGAGAGGAGCGCACCGGAGAAAGAACACACGAGCUGCGGGACAGUGAGAGGAACACACUGGUAGAAGAGCACACAGGCAGCUGGAUGUCGAGAGGAGCGGAAGAGCACAGCGACAGGCACUGGUGUCGACCAGCGGAACGACGUGGAGUUUGGCCUGGGAGGUCAGAGAAGAAUUUGGCUGCUGGGCAGCCCCACUAUAGGGGAAAACCACCUUCCCACUCCAUUCCCCUUCUGAUCUCCCCAUCCACCUCGCUGAGAGCUACCACAACUCAAUAAAAAACCUAGCACUCGAUCUCCAAGCCCACAUGUGAUCCAAUUUUUCCCGUGCACUAAAGCAAGAACCUGGGAUACAGAAAGCCGUCUGUCCUUGUGAUAAGGCAGAGGGUCUAAUUGAGCUGAUUAACACAAGCCACCUGCGGACAGCUAAGCUGAAAAAGCAUCCUGUAACACACGCCCACUGGGGCCUCAGGAGGUGUAAACAUUCACCCCGAGAGGCUGCAUGGGUCCGCGCCCAUGGUCCCCAUGACUUGCCUGUUUGCCUGCUCUGGCUAAGGGUCUUGACCAGUGGGGCACUGAAGAAGCGAGCCACACCUCCAUCGUACGCCCUGCGAGGAGGGGUCUCACUCAGUGACCCAGGCUGAAUGCAGUGGAACAAUCAUGGCUUACUGUAGCCUUGACCUUGAGGGCUUAAGCAAUCCUGCCACCUCAGCCUGCCUAGUACUGGGACUACAGGUACGCGCCACCACGCCCAGGUAAUUUUUUAUUUUUGUAGAGACGGGGGCGUCGCCGUGUUGCCAAAGCUGGAAACAUCAAAUAUAUUCAGCUCCCGUCUCUCUUCAACCAUGUAAAAUUAUUUCAACAACUAUCAGCUAUUGAAGGUGAAACUGGCAUGUCUGUUUGUUCUUCUCUUCCUGGUGUCAAAGACUCUUAAAGCAUGCAUAUAAAAUAUGAAAGUAAAUAAAACGUAAUCAAAAAUACUAACAUUCAAACAUUUACAUAUCAUUGUUCCUACUAUCCCUUUUUUCUCUGGAUCUCUAAUAGAAAUAACAGUUGGUGUCCAUCAAGUGUUAAGUGAAUAAAUAAAAAAUUACCAAAUUUUUAUAUUUGGUAUAUCUUAUAUUUCUAUAUCUAUACAAAGAAACCUUAUUUGGUAAUAAAAAGAUAUGAAGUAUUGAUAUGCUGAGUCAAAGAUUCCAGUCCAUUAUUACAGUACUGCAUUACUAUAAAACAUCUUGAGUAUGCAAAUCUAUAAAGAAGGAAGUAGGUUAGUGGUUGCUUGUGGCAGGACAGGAGGG
rnacentral:lncRNA from 10 species